rnacentral:rRNA from 1 species
UACGUAGGGUGCAAGCGUUAAUCGGAAUUACUGGGCGUAAAGCGUGCGCAGGCGGCUUUGCAAGACAGUUGUGAAAUCCCCGGGCUCAACCUGGGAACUGCAUCUGUGACUGCAUCGCUGGAGUGCGGCAGAGGGGGAUGGAAUUCCGCGUGUAGCAGUGAAAUGCGUAGAUAUGCGGAGGAACACCGAUGGCGAAGGCAAUCCCCUGGGCCUGCACUGACGCUCAUGCACGAAGCGUGGGGAGCAACAGG